rnacentral:rRNA from 1 species
UACGUAGGGGGGCAAGCGUUGUCCGGAAUCAUUGGGCGUAAAGAGCGUGUAGGCGGCCCGGUAAGUCCGCUGUGAAAGUCGGGGGCUCAACCCUCGGAUGCCGGUGGAUACUGUCGGGCUUGAGUACGGAAGAGGCGAGUGGAAUUCCUGGUGUAGCGGUGAAAUGCGCAGAUAUCAGGAGGAACACCAAUUGCGAAGGCAGCUCGCUGGGACGUUACUGACGCUGAGACGCGAAAGCGUGGGGAGCAAACAGG